CUCUCUCUCUCUCUCUCUCUCUCUCUCUCUCUCUCUCUCUCUCUCUCUCUCUACGUAUCUCUCAAAAUGUACAGCUUCUGCUGCUCACUCCAUCCUCAACAACUUCACACACCCACACACACCCAUACACGGAUACACACACACAAGCCCACACACUCACACACACUCAGCAUAAUGUGCCCUAAUGGAAGUGUUGUGGUGUAAAUAUUCAUGAAUGACUCGUGCUCUGUGCGGCUCCUGUGUUCCGACGCUACGGUGUGCUUGGUUUGGCGCAGGGGGUCGGUGUGUUUGUCGCUCUGUCUGUGCGUGGAGCCUUCGCUAAACGGUAGCAUCUGAGUCACAUCGUGCCCGUGCCUCCUCACGCUGUCUCGCUCGGGGUGUGAUGGACAACACGUUAAGAGCAGGGAAUCUAAAUCAGAGCAGAUCCAUGUCAGGGGUCGCCCUCACGCUGAGACCUGCUCUCCUCGAAAGCUUUUAGUGUGAGUGCGUGGUAUGGGCCCUGGCCCCCCUGUAACAACACGAUCCGCAGUUGCCUGCAAUACGAUGUCUAUGCAUACACUGAGAGGGCAGUGGUCAACCUCGCGCCCCCGGCAGACACACAGUGGGCCUGCUGGCAACUAGAGGACGCGGCCACUGCCUCUCAGGCUCCAAGGUGUUGGAGUCCCGCUGUAGCCUGGCCUAAUGGUAUGCUGUUUGUGUUUGCUCACAUGCAUCAUUAUGUCCCUGAGUCAAACCCUGUCGUGGUUUUUGCUGCAACAAGUGGUAGGGCGAGAGAGAGAGAGAGAGAGAGAGAGAGAGAGAGAGAGAGAGAGAGAGAGAGAGAGAGAGAGAGAGAGAGAGAGAGAGAGAGAGAGAGAGAGAGAGAGAGAGAGACGCGCUCGUAAACAGGAGAUUAGUGCCAGGUGUUGAUCGUCGGGGAGGGGUGCGGCGGGUGGGUGAUUGCUGCGCCCGUCGCGCCACACAAUUAUUCACGGGGGGAGGCGAAAUACGCCCCUCCGGAAGGAGCGAUGAAAAUGUCCAAUCUAAGGCCGCAGAGUGAUCUCUCACUGCUGGGAUCCAAGAUCCACAAGGCGAGCCCUGUGUCCUCCGCUGUGGUCUAAUCAUGAUGAGGCUAAGCUUUGUCCAUGUGUGUGUAAACCGUGCUGCUGUAGCUCGCUCCCCCGCAAUCAAUAAAAGAUCUCCCCAUCUGGGUUUCAUUUGAGGUGACUAUCACGGGGAGUGCAGACGAUGUUCAGAGCGUUGUGUCGUUAGCUCGGUAUCUGCCAUGGAGGAAGGGCCCGGAGGAAGGGGCCCGGAUGGGCGGUGUGGCGAUCGGAUGCCCGUCUGAGUGCCUCACUGUGGGUCUUAGUCAUGCCUCGGUUUUUCUCUCCCCACCGCCUCAGGCUGCCGACACAGCGUGGCUCUGUAGCCUGUCGCUCGCGGGUCGGAUUAGAGCCCGUUAUGUAGACGAUGCUAGACAAGGUGCCUUGACGUGAGCCAGUGCCUGAGUUUACCCCACUGAAGGCUAAUCCCGAGCCCCCGCCCCACUUAGAUUCCUGCAGCGUCUCCCAGCCUGUAAUCCAUCAGGAUUUCUCCUUCCUGUCUGAACGGGCUGGCCUCCGGUCCCAGAUGUCGAGAUGCCGGAGCAGACGGGAGAUAGAUUGAGGAAGAGUGACAGAGAAAGAGUGAAGAGGAGGAGGGGAGCUCAGGUGGGGAUGAAAAGGAUAAGGGUGGGGGGGGGAGGGGGGGCAGGAGGGUAAUCUCAUUGACAGAAGCCGAGCACAAUAUGCUAGCAACGUGUGUGGAAUCCACACAUAUGCGAACACACACACACACACACACACACACUCACACUCACACACACACACACUCACACUCACACUCACACACACACACACAAAAGGGAUACAAUGGAACCGUUUUAUUUUGGCCUGUGUAGUGACACACAUGUCCCCCACAGUGCGUUUGUGCCUGCGUGCGUACGUGCUUGUGCAUGUGUGCGUGUAUGUGUGUGUAUGUGUGUGUCUGUGUGUGUGUGUGUGCAUGUGUGCGUGUAUGUGUGUGUGUGUGUGUGUACGUGUGUGUGUGUGUGUGUAUAUGUGUGCGUGUACGUGUGUGUACACAGUUGUGCUGACGCCACAGAGACCAGGCUCUUACGUAAGCUCAGAAUGGGUUCCUGUAAAACCCUCGGGAGCGUCACGGGUCAGGUGACCGCCCUUUGUUUAUGUAGAUGUGAGGUCUCCCUUCUGCGCCCCGGCCCGGAGGAACGACCUAUGGGAAAAUCUACCUCUGUUCUUGUGUGAUGAUGGGUGUCUGUCUGCGUGCGUCACACGGGCCACGCGCCAGCCUCCUUUGACUCGCUGAUGCUUUUAUCGGUCACCGCUUCGCUGCGUGACUCAGAUUGUGUUGUUUUGUUUGUUUGUCCGCCUUGUACUAUGUUUUCGGUGAUGUACAUAGAGUAUUUUAUAUUUUUACUGUGUGUUUAUACUCAUAUCUGAAUGUAUUUUAAUUGUCGUAUUAAACAAAUGUCACACCGCUGUCUCUGGUUUUUCGGCUUCUUCUGAGUUCAGAGUUCACC
ensembl:lncRNA